rnacentral:lncRNA from 1 species
GUUAAGGUCAAUGGGAAACUACAACAAUCCAGGCAGGACUAAAAAUGGCCCAGACUCUUCAGGAAUGAAGAUUUGGGACACUCCAUCAGACCACUCUGGCCCGCCACACCCUUAUCCUGUGCCUAUAUAAACCCUAAACUCCAUGAGCAGAGGAACAGAAGAGCAUAAGAGUGGCAGAGUGGCAGAGCGGCACAGCGGCGUGGCAGAGAGGGAGCAUCUGAAUGUCAAGAGGAGUUCAGCUGGGGAUGGUCAGAGAGAUCAGCUGCGGGAUGGCCAAACUCCAGGUAAGUUCAUCUUCCCACUCCAUUCCCUUUCAAGCUCCCUAUCCAUCCUGCUGAGAGCCACCUCCACCUCCGUCACUCAAUAAAACCCCUACAUUCACCGUCCUUCAACUCCGUGUGACCUGAUUCUUCCUGCAUGCCGGAUAAGGAGCCGGGUACCAAGAGGGCAGGGUGUAAAAGGCUGUCAGCCUGACUCUCCACUGAGCUCGUUUAACACUUAGCCAUCCACGGACAGCAACUGCUAACACAGCAUUAAUUAUAGCGCGCCCUUAGAUGCUACUGUGGGGCCGGAGCCCAGAGCCUUCACCCUGGCUCCUGCACCUGCCCAUCUGGGUUCUCCCCCUCCCACUCCUGUCACAAGUCCUGCAAGGGGGUCAGGGAACUCUAUUGUUUCAGUAUAUAUAUGAGUGCCUAUGAAAUGCUUGCUUGUAUUCCCUAAGAAGUAGUCCUGCCCUAAGUUGAGGUAGAAAGCUGACAGGAGAGUAGAGGUUAAGUGAAACUCUUUGAGUUUAGGAUAAUUGAACGAGAAAGCAGCCUAAUGGAUGGUGCCUAUUAUUUGAAAUGUAUCCCCGUCUUGUCAG